AUAUCAAUAAGCGGAGGAAAAGAAACCAACAGGGAUUGCCCCAGUAACGGCGAGUGAAGCGGCAACAGCUCAAAUUUAAAAUCUGGCCCCCGGGUCCGAGUUGUAAUUUGUAGAGGAUGCUUUUGGCGAGGUGCCUUCCGAGUUCCCUGGAACGGGACGCCAUAGAGGGUGAGAGCCCCGUCUGGUCGGACACCGAGCCUCUGUAAAGCUCCUUCGACGAGUCGAGUAGUUUGGGAAUGCUGCUCAAAAUGGGAGGUAUAUGUCUUCUAAAGCUAAAUAUUGGCCAGAGACCGAUAGCGCACAAGUAGAGUGAUCGAAAGAUGAAAAGCACUUUGAAAAGAGGGUUAAAAAGUACGUGAAAUUGUUGAAAGGGAAGCGCCUAUGACCAGACUUGGGCCCGGUGAAUCACCCAGCGUUCUCGCUGGUGCACUUCGCCGGGCACAGGCCAGCAUCAGUUUGGCGCGGGGGAGAAAGGCUUCGGGAAUGUGGCUCCCCCGGGAGUGUUAUAGCCCGUUGCGCAAUACCCUGCGCUGGACUGAGGUACGCGCAUUCGCAAGGAUGCUGGCGUAAUGGUCAUCAGCGACCCGUCUUGAAACACGGACCAAGGAGUCGUCUUCGUAUGCGAGUGUUCGGGUGUCAAACCCCUACGCGUAAUGAAAGUGAACGCAGGUGAGAGCUUCGGCGCAUCAUCGACCGAUCCUGAUGUUCUCGGAUGGAUUUGAGUAAGAGCAUACGGGGCCGGACCCGAAAGAAGGUGAACUAUGCCUGUAUAGGGUGAAGCCAGAGGAAACUCUGGUGGAGGCUCGCAGCGGUUCUGACGUGCGAAUCGAUCGUCAAAUAUGGGCAUGGGGGCGAAAGACUAAUCGAACCUUCUAGUAGCUGGUUUCCGCC
rnacentral:rRNA from 1 species